rnacentral:rRNA from 1 species
AUUGAACGCUGGCGGCAGGCCUAACACAUGCAAGUCGAACGAGUGGCGGACGGGUGAGUAAUGUCUGGGAAACUGCCUGAUGGAGGGGGAUAACUACUGGAAACGGUAGCUAAUACCGCAUCCCAUCGGAUGUGCCCAGAUGGGAUUAGCUAGUAGGUGGGGUAACGGCUCACAGAGGCGACGAUCCCUAGCUGGUCUGAGAGGAUGACAAGCCAGACUGGAACUGCGACACGGGCCAGACUCCUCCGGGAGGUAGCAGUGGGGAAUAUUGCACAAUGGGCGCAAGCCUGAUGCAGCUGUGCCGCGUGUAUGAAGAAUGCCUUCGGGUUGUAAAGUACUUUCAGCUGGGAGGCGUUACCCGCAGAAGAAGCACCGGCUAACUCCGUGCCAGCAGCCGCGGUAAUUC